ACGUAGGGACCAAGCGUUGUCCGGAAUCAUUGGGCGUAAAGCGCGCGUAGGCGGCCCGAUAAGUCCGCUGUAAAAGUCAACGGCUCAACCGUUGAAAGCCGGUGGAUACUGUCGGGCUAGAGUUCGGAAGAGGCAAGUGGAAUUCCUGGUGUAGCGGUGGAAUGCGCAGAUAUCAGGAGGAACACCUAUAGCGAAGGCAGCUUGCUGGGACGAUACUGACGCUAAGGCGCGAAAGCGUGGGGAGCGAACAGGAUUAGAUACCCUGGUAGUCCACGCCGUAAACGAUGAGAACUAGGUGUGGGAGGUGUCGACUCCUCCCGUGCCGUCGCUAACGCAUUAAGUUCUCCGCCUGGGGAGUACGGCCGCAAGGCUA
rnacentral:rRNA from 1 species